rnacentral:rRNA from 1 species
AGUGAACGCUGGCGGUAGGCCUAACACAUGCAAGUCGAACGGCAGCACAGUAAGAGCUUGCUCUUACGGGAGGCGAGUGGCGGACGGGUGAGGAAUACAUCGGAAUCUACUUUUUCGUGGGGGAUAACGUAGGGAAACUUACGCAAAUACCGCAUACGACCUACGGGUGAAAGCAGGGGAUCUUCGGACCUUGCGCGAUUGAAUGAGCCGAUGUCGGAUUAGCUAGUUGGCGGGGUAAAGGCCCACCAAGGCGACGAUCCGUAGCUGGUCUGAGAGGAUGAUCAGCCACACUGGAACUGAGACACGGUCCAGACUCCUACGGGAGGCAGCAGUGGGGAAUAUUGGACAAUGGGCGCAAGCCUGAUCCAGCCAUACCGCGUGGGUGAAGAAGGCCUUCGGGUUGUAAAGCCCUUUUGUUGGGAAAGAAAAGAAGCAGGUUAAUACCCCGCUGUUCUGACGGUACCCAAAGAAUAAGCACCGGCUAACUUCGUG